rnacentral:rRNA from 1 species
GGGCCGCGGUAUACUGACCGUGCGAAGGUAGCAUAAUCAAUAGUGUUUUAAUUGGAGACUGGAAUGAACGGUCGGACAAAGGGUUUACUGUCUCUGAAAUGAAUCUUGAAUUUUACUUUUAAGUGAAAAGGCUUAAAUGACGUAAAGGGACGAUAAGACCCUAUAAAACUUGACAAGUUGAAUGAUUAGAUGUAGAAAUUAGAGAGUGUAAACUUGAUGGUCAUUCAGUUGUUUUGUUGGGGCGACAAGGAUAAAAGGUAAGUAACUGUCUUUCUGUGCAAAUAGCAAUGAUUAGUUUAUUUGAUCCUUUACUAGGGAUUAAGAGAUUAAGUUACUUUAGGGAUAACAGCGUAAUUUCUCUUGAGAGUUCUUAUCGACAGAGUUAGUUGCGACCUCGAUGUUGAAUUAAGAUGUUAUUUGGGCGCAGGAGUCCAAAAAGUAGGUCUGUUCGACCUUUAAAAUCUU